CCCCACCAGAGCAGUGCUGGGCUCACGGUCAACCUUAAUUUAAGCAAUUCAAUAGAUCUAGUUAAAAACAAUGAAUCAAAUACAAAGAACCAGUUGGUUAGUUUCGAUCAUUUCGAAAUUGAAAUGUCAAUUAGGGUAGGCCCACUACAGUAUUUCCCGUAUCUCCGCCAACAAACAGUGUAGCCCGUUUAAGGUUUUAAAAAAAGAAGAUUUAACAGCCGAACAAUGGCAGUAAAACACGACCAGCGCGGAUACAAUUAAUGAGCGUUCAGGGUAGCAAGUGCCGUACAACUACCAAACACAUAGCAUAUUCUGACAAAGCUAUUACCAAAUCAUAGGAACAGGGGAAACCUACAGAAUAGCUGAUAAGUUUUAGGCAAGUAAUGUUACGCUAAGUAAGAGGCAAAACAGCAGUACACCUUGGCAACCUAAAAGGGGGGAAAACAAACCAAUAAACAAGGUAACCGGACUAUUUGCUAUGAAUUGGGGGCCAUAAGGCAAUCCUACUUACCAUACCUCUAGCCUACCUUAAGCCUCAGAAAUGCACGCACAUUGAUUGGUGAAGACACACCCUCACUUUACUACCUCAGCCAGGCGAAUCAAUCACUCGCUCUGGCUGACGGAUACCUGUGAAUGAAUCGGAGGGUUUGUUAGCCAGUGAAAACACGGACUUUUAGUUGAAUAUGCACGUCUUCCCAACAUACCUACAUGCAGCAACAACUGGUUCACUGUAGGUUCCAGCGAUUUACUAGAGGCCAGGAAACUACAAAUACAAAAGGUUAUGAAUUUACCAUUGUGGAUAUUGAACCUUAAAACAGAGGAACAAGACUGCACGGCUACACGUACCUCUCACCAAAACAGGAAGACUCUCAGAAACAGAGGCGGGCACAAGAGCAGGAAACAAGGUAAAGUGAGGGAAUCACUAGCUCCGGUCACAUCAACACACUACUAUUGAAGGCCAUUAUCUGCUCAAAUGGCCUUCCAUAAAACUAAUGGGCUGACAAUCACUGCAAUGCUCCUCCCAACCACCAGGGUGUGUGCUUCCUGACACUGCAGCUCUGCACUGAUGCUCAAUGGAGAAAUACACAGCAUCCCAACAGCAUUUCCUUGUGACCUCAUUUCUUCAUUUAAUAAACACUGAAUUUUACUCGCUUUGUUGCCAAGUACAAUGAA